rnacentral:rRNA from 1 species
AGUUUGAUCCUGGCUCAGAACGAACGCUAGCGGGAGGCCUAACACAUGCAAGCUGAGCGGUAGAGAUCUUUCGGGAUCUUGAGAGCGGCGUACGGGUGCGGAACACGUGUGCAACCUGCCUUUAUCAGGGGGAUAGCCUUUCGAAAGGAAGAUUAAUACCCCAUAAUAUAAGAGACGGCAUCGUUUUUUAUUGAAAACUCCGGUGGAUAGAGAUGGGCACGCGCAAGAUUAGAUAGUUGGUGAGGUAACGGCUCACCAAGUCGAUGAUCUUUAGGGGGCCUGAGAGGGUGAUCCCCCACACUGGUACUGAGACACGGACCAGACUCCUACGGGAGGCAGCAGUGAGGAAUAUUGGACAAUGGGUUAGCGCCUGAUCCAGCCAUCCCGCGUGAAGGACGACGGCCCUAUGGGUUGUAAACUUCUUUUGUACAGGGAUAAACCUACUCUCGUGAGAGUAGCUGAAGGUACUGUACGAAUAAGCACCGGCUAACUCCGUGCCAGCAGCCGCGGUAA